rnacentral:rRNA from 1 species
GACGAACGCUGGCGGCGUGCCUAACACAUGCAAGUCGAGCGGGGUUGAAGCGAGGGGUAACUCGGACUUCUACCUAGCGGCGGACGGGUGAGUAACGCGUGGGCAACCUGCCUCAAGGUUUGGGAUAACAGCUCGAAAGGGCUGCUAAUACCGGAUAUGCCUGUGGCCUCGCAUGGGGCUAUGAGCAAAGGGGAAACCCGCCUUGAGAUGGGCCCGCGUCCCAUCAGCUAGUUGGUGAGGUGAAGGCUCACCAAGGCGACGACGGGUAGCCGGCCUGAGAGGGUGACCGGCCACGCUGGGACUGAGACACGGCCCAGACUCCUACGGGGGGCAGCAGUGGGGGAUCUUGCACAAUGGGCGAAAGCCUGAUGCAGCGACGCCGCGUGAGCGAAGAAGGCCUUCGGGUUGUAAAGCUCUGUCUGGAGGGACGAAGAAAAUGACGGUACCUCCGGAGGAAGCCACGGCUAACUACGUG